GGCGGCUAUGGCUGAUGGAAAGCCCCGAAAUGCAUAGGCAUGAGCUGCUUUGCAUGAUAUUAGCAUGAUGCUAUAAUUGCUAUGGGCUGGAGGUUG